GUUGGGCAUGGUGGUGCAUGCCUGUAAUCCUAGUGACUCAGGAGGCUGAGGCAGGAGGAUCGAGAGUUCAAAGUCAGCCUCUGCAAAAGUGAGGUGUUAAGCAACUCAGUGAGACCCUUUCUCUA
rnacentral:sRNA from 1 species